GGAUGAACGCUGGCGGCGUGCUUAACACAUGCAAGUCGAACGGUAGUAGCAAUACUACAGUGGCGCACGGGUGAGGAACACGUAGCUCAUCUGCCCUCAAGCGCGGGAUAACGGUCCGAAAGGAUUGCUAAUACCGCAUAAGCUCCCGGACUGUAGAGGUCUGAGAGAAAAGGGGAAACUCACUUGAGGAGGAGGCUGCGGCCCAUCAGGUAGUUGGUGUGGUAACGGCGCACCAAGCCAACGACGGGUAGGGGACCUGAGAGGGUGACCCCCCACACUGGGACUGAGACACGGCCCAGACUCCUACGGGAGGCAGCAGUGAGGAAUAUUGCCCAAUGGACGAAAGUCUGAGGCAGCGACGCCGCGUGGGUGAUGAAGGCCUUCGGGUCGCAAAGCCCUUUUCUGUGUGACGAGCAAGGACGGUAGCACAGGAAAAAGUCUCGGCUAACUACGUGCCAGCAGCCGCGGUAAAACGUAGGAGGCAAGCGUUAUCCGGAGUUACUGGGCGUAAAGCGUGCGUAGGCGGGUCGGUAAGUGGGUGGUGAAAGCGCCGGGCUAAACCGGGCGAGGUCCAUUCAGACUGUCGACCUAGAGGCGGAUAGAGGGGUGCGGAAUUCCGGGUGUAGCGGUGAAAUGUGUAGAGAUCCGGAGGAACACCAGUGGUGCAAACGGCGCCCUGGGUCCGAACUGACGCUGAGGCACGAAAGCGUGGGGAGCGAACGGGAUUAGAGACCCCGGUAGUCCACGCCGUAAACGAUGUCAACUAGGUGUCCACUUGGCUACGGUCAAGGGGGUGCCGAAGCUAACG
rnacentral:rRNA from 1 species